UCAUGACCUAGUCUCAGACACGAACUUUUAUUAUCUACCACUACCAUGGUGUGUACAUUAAAGUUCUAAAAAUAUCCUUUGAGGGCCCCGCUGGUUGCCGCUGAGAUCUUUGCUAAUUAAAUCUUGUGAGCUUAUAGAUGUUAUAAUAGAUAUUAAGUCCAAGCAUCUUGAGAAAUUUUCGUAAUUAAUCUUCUCAAAUGAAGAAUAGAAGACGUCACCUAUUUUUGAUUUAAUUCUAAUUUUAGUAGAUUUCCGGUUGUUGUACAUUAAAAUGAACAUUAAAUUAUGUUUAGAUUGGUGCGAUUUUAGUGAUUUUUGGAAAGGAAUUCCAUGUGUUAAUUCGUUAAUUUGAAAUAUAUUCACAUAUUUCAUUUUUGAUGAAAGUUUUUAUCAUUCCGUGUCAAAUUGAUUCAUCUAUUUGUCCUUGGCCACCAACCGUUUGAGAGAGACACAUGAAUGCAUCUACAUCUGUCUAAAGUGUCAAAACUUUUCAAUUAGCGAAAAUCAAACUACAUCAAUGCUAGCAUGAUGCAUGAACCCGCAAAGCGAGUCGAAGCAUUCAAUUUGGUUUGUUUAUGUGAAGCCCCAUCUGCAGGCGUGUCUACCUGGCAAAGACCGCGUACCAUUAGCUCGUUUUAAUAUUAGCAGUGCAUGAAUUGUUUAUUUAAUUUUCAGUUGUGCUUUUUUCACCCUGAUCACCAUUCAUUGUAAAUUAUACAAAGGAGACGUGCUGUCAACGACGCAAAUAACUCACUCACUUAAAUGCAUUGCAUUUGAAUGCUCAACAGGACUGCAUAACCGAACAACUACAAUAUAAUUGAACUUAAGGUGCUCACGCGUAAAUGCUUCUUGACGCAAGCAGAUGGCAUACCAAAAUGAACCAUAGAGGGAGAAUCUCGCUAGUAAGCUAUAAAAGUUUGCAAGAUGAGAAUGCCAAUGAGUUAAAAUUUUAUAUCUUUAGAAAAAAUUGUUACGUUGUUCGAAAUAAACAAAAAAAUUGA